CUGGAUCUGAGUCAGUGCCGUCUCACCGAUGACAGCCUGGAUCUGCUGCUCCCAAACCUCCACAAAGUGCAACACAUUGAUUUUAGUGGCAAUAGCAUCACUGAAGCUGGGGCUGAGAAAAUCUACAGGAUCGUCACUCGCAACAGUAACAUAAAGACAGUGAGGCUCUUCAACAACAUAAUUGAAUCCAGAGAGCUCUUCAGGACAGACCCACGAUUUGAGAUCUGGUGAUGCCAGCAAACUCUCUCUGGAAUCAACAAACAGCUGAAAUAUCCAGCAGUGGGAAAUGAU